UACGUAGGGGGCAAGCGUUGUCCGGAUUUAUUGGGCGUAAAGAGCGUGUAGGCGGCUUUACAGGUCCGUUGUGAAAACUCGAGGCUCAACCUCGAGACGCCGGUGGAAACCGUAAGGCUAGAGUCCGGAAGAGGAGAGUGGAAUUCCUGGUGUAGCGGUGAAAUGCGUAGAUAUCGAGAGGAACACCUGCGGCGAAGGCGGGUUGCUGGGCUGAUACUGACGCUGAGGCGCGAAAGCUAGGGGAGCGAACGGG
rnacentral:rRNA from 1 species